rnacentral:rRNA from 1 species
AGUUUGAUCCUGGCUCAGAAUGAACGCUGGCGGCAUGCCUAACACAUGCAAGUCGAACGAGAUCUUCGGAUCUAGUGGCGCACGGGUGAGUWACGCGUGGGAACCUACCUUUUAGUACGGGACAACGUUUGGAAACGGACGCUAAUACCGUAUACGCCCUCCGGGGGAAAGGUCAGCCGCUAAAAGAGGGGCCCGCGUCUGAUUAGCUUGUUGGUAAGGUAAUGGCUUACCAAGGCUACGAUCAGUAGCUGGUCUGAGAGGAUGAUCAGCCACACUGGGACUGAGACACGGCCCAGACUCCUACGGGAGGCAGCAGUGGGGAAUAUUGGACAAUGGAGGCAACUCUGAUCCAGCAAUGCCGCGUGUGUGAUGAAGGCCCUAGGGUUGUAAAGCACUUUCAACGGUGAAGAUGAUGACGGUAGCCGUAGAAGAAGCCCCGGCUAACUUCGUGCCAGCAGCCGCGGUAAUACGAAGGGGGCGAGCAUUAUUCGGAAUUAUUGGGCGUAAAGGGCUCGCAGGCUGCUUGAACAGUUAGACGUGAAAUCCCCGGGCUCAACCUGGGAACUGCGUUUAAUACUAGCAAGCUAGAGAAAUAGAGAGGAAAGUGGAACUCCCAGUGUAGAGGUGAAAUUCGUAGAUAUUGGGAAGAACACCAGUGGCGAAAGCGACUUUCUGGCUAUUUUCUGACGCUGAGGAGCGAAAGCGGGGGGAGCAAACAGGAUUAGGUACCCUGGUAGUCCACGCCGUAAACGAUGUGUGCUAGAUGUUGGAGGGAUACCUUUCAGUGUCGCAGCUAACGCACUAAGCACACCGCCUGGGAAGUACGGUCGCAAGAUUAAAACUCAAAGGAAAUUGACGGGGGCCCGCACAAGCGGUGGAGCAUGUGGUUUAAUUCGACGCAACGCGCAGAACCUUACCAGCCCUUGACAUGUGGAGUUUGGUUAUCAGAGAUGAUUUCCUUCAGUUCGGCUGGCUCCAACACAGGUGCUGCAUGGCUGUCGUCAGC